UGUGCGUGAUGCCGGGGGACGUGUGACCAGGUGUGCCCGUGUGCGUGAUGCCGGGGGACGUGUGACCAGGUGUGCCCGUGUGCGUGAUGCCGGGGGACGUGUGACCAGGUGUGCCCGUGUGUGCGUGAUGCCGGGGGACGUGUGACCAGGUGUGCCCGUGUGUGCGUGAUGCCGGGGGACGUGUGACCAGGGUGUGCCCGUGUGCGUGAUGCCGGGGGACGUGUGACCAGGUGUGCCCGUGUGUGCGUGAUGUCGGGGGACGUGUGACCAGGUGUGCCCAUGUGUGUGAUGCCGGGUGACGUGUGACCAGGUGUGCCCGUGUGUGUGAUGCCGGGGGACGUGUGACCAGGUGUGCCCGUGUGUGUGAUGCCGGGGGACGUGUGACCAGGUGUGCCCAUGUGUGUGUGAUGCCGGGGGACGUGUGACCAGGUGUGCCCGUGUGUGUGAUGCCGGGGGACGUGUGACCAGGUGUGCCCGUGUGCGUGAUGCCGGGGGACGUGUGACCAGGUGUGCCCGUGUGUGUGUGAUGUCGGGGGACGUGUGACCAGGUGUGCCCGUGGAGGAAGGGAAUGCACUCCCAGAGUGCCGUGGGGGCAGUGUGCAGGGCUGCCACAGGGCUGGUUUUUGUGUGUGGCACUUUGGAUCUGGGUCACAGCAACCGAGGGUCACAUCUCAGGUGAGGGUGAGGGUGGCUGGGGACGCCAAACUCAGGAGAGCCCUCAGGGACGAAAACGGGCCGGCGCUGUGGCUCAGUGGGUUAAGGUGCGGCCUGCGGCACUGGCAUCCCACAUGGGCACUGGUUACAGUCCCGGCUGCUCCGCUUCCCAUCCAGGCCCUGCUAAUGGCCUGGGAAAGCAGUGGAGGAGGGGCCAGGUGCUUGGGCCCCCAACCCACGUGGGAGACGCCGAGGACGCUCUGGGCUCCUGGCUUCAGCCUGGCCCAGACGGAGCGAACCAGCGGAUGAAGAUCUCCGUCCCUCCUCUCUCUCUGUAACUCUGCCUUCCAAAUAAGUAAAAUAAACCCUUAACCAACA